UUAAGUCCCGCAACGAGCGCAACCCUUAUCCUUUGUUGCCAGCGGUCCGGCCGGGAACUCAAAGGAGACUGCCAGUGAUAAACUGGAGGAAGGUGGGGAUGACGUCAAGUCAUCAUGGCCCUUACGACCAGGGCUACACACGUGCUACAAUGGCGCAUACAAAGAGAAGCGACCUCGCGAGAGCAAGCGGACCUCAUAAAGUGCGUCGUAGUCCGGAUUGGAGUCUGCAACUCGACUCCAUGAAGUCGGAAUCGCUAGUAAUCGUGGAUCAGAAUGCCACGGUGAAUACGUUCCCGGGCCUUGUACACACCGCCCGUCACACCAUGGGAGUGGGUUGCAAAAGAAGUAGGUAGCUUAACCUUCGGGAGGGCGCUUACCACUUUGUGAUUCAUGACUGGGGUGAAGUCGUAACAAGGUAACCGUAGGGGAACCUGCGGUUGGAUCAC
rnacentral:rRNA from 1 species